rnacentral:lncRNA from 1 species
AGUCAGGUGAAUGAAAACAUCCUCUUUCUUCUUCUAAAACUAGGAGACACUGUUUGUAGGAGGCCCAAGACAGUAAACAUGGACGGUAGCCAUUUAUUCAAAGGUUGUCGUUUCUUUUCCAUUUACCCACAAACCCUGGAUGUCAUUUCGAGAGAGAGAGAGAGAGAGAGAGAGAGAGUUGACUUUCUUCCUGUAGACAUGUCCCCUAUUUCCCAGGACUCCAGAGCCCUGUUAAAGAGUCUGAAAGCAGUCAGGUGGAAUAAAAACAUACCCUAUCCACUUAUUAAAGAUAGAAAAAAGAUGUCCCUUCUUUUCCAGGACUCCAGAGCCCUGAGGCUAGUAAGGCAGAAAGAAAACUAGAACCGUAGAACCUGAAAGAGCAGACAGUCCCUGGCAGUGUCAAGGAAGAGGAGGAAGCUGGACAGGAGACAGUCUCUGGCAGUGUACAGGAAGAGGAGAAAGCUGGACAGGAGACAGUCCCUGGCAGUGUACAGGAAGAGGAGAAAGCUGGAGAGGAGACAGUCCCUGGCAGUGUACAGGAAGAGGAGGAAGCUGGAGAGGAGACAGUCCCUGGCAGUGUACAGGAAGAGGAGGAAGCUGGAGAGGAGACAGUCCCUGGCAGUGUACAGGAAGAGGAGAAAGCUGGAGAGGAGACAGUCCCUGGCAGUGUACAGGAAGAGGAGGAAGCUGGAGAGGAGACAGUCCCUGGCAGUGUACAGGAAGAGGAGGAAGCUGGACAGGAGACAGUCCCUGGCAGUGUACAGGAAGAGGAGAAAGCUGGAGAGGAGACAGCCCCUGGCAGUGUACAGGAAGAGGAGGAAGCUGGAGAGGAGACAGUCUCUGGCAGUGUACAGGAAGAGGAGGAAGCUGGAGAGGAGACAGUCUCUGGCAGUGUACAGGAAGAGGAGGAAGCUGGACAGGAGACAGUCCCUGGCAGUGUACAGGAAGAGGAGAAAGCUGGAGAGGAGACAGCCCCUGGCAGUGUACAGGAAGAGGAGGAAGCUGGAGAGGAGACAGACAGUCUCUGGCAGUGUACAGGAAGAGGAGGAAGCUGGAGAGGAGACAGUCCCUGGCAGUGUACAGGAAGAGGAGGAAGCUGGAGAGGAGACAGUCCCUGGCAGUGUACAGGAAGAGGAGGAAGCUGGAGAGGAGACAGUCCCUGGCAGUGUACAGGAAGAGGAGGAAGCUGGAGAGGAGACAGUCCCUGGCAGUGUACAGGAAGAGGAGGAAGCUGGAGAGGAGACAGGAACCUGCAGGUUGAUGUGAGGAGGUUAAACGUGUCUCUUCUAAAGCGGUUCAGAGAGGGGGUAGCUGCUGCUCUGGACAUCUCCCCCAGACACCUCCACAUCAACAGACUCAAUGUAAGACACACACACACACACACACACACACACACACACACACACACACACACACACACACACACACACACACACACACACACACACACACACACACACACACACACACACACACAUUCAACACCCUUUACUGACAAUAGACAUUGAUAAGGAUGACUUUAAACUAGUUUCCACUGAAUACAG